GUGCUUGUUUUGGCAGCACAUAUACUAAAAAUGGAAUGAUACAGAGAUUAGAUGUCCACUGUGCAAGGAUGACAUGCAAAUUCAUGGAGUGUUCUGUAUAUAA